UGUCUGCCGACUGCAGCGCAGGAAGUGACAUCACCAUGUCUCCGGAGGAGCGGAUACCCAUGCGGCUCUCCAGCGCUCGAGAACAGGACCGUCACACCGAAGGAACCUGCUUCCUGCUGGCCGCCAGCGACUACACCUGCACAGCAGACGCAGCUAUCCGCAAAACAGAGGCAAACGUUCUGUCUUAAAGGGAGACGAGACUCGCGAGACUCACAGCUACUGUAUCACCUCUGGCUGACGUACAGUUUAUAUCGGCCAGAGACGGGGAAGGCGGGGCCAGCAGAGACUCAGAUGGAUUUGAUGAAUUGGAUUGGACAGUCUGGAAUAGAAUAAGCCUGUGAUUGGACGGUUCUGAAAGCGGACGCUCUGUGAACAGAAACCUCACUUACGGAUCGAUCGGACUGCUCAAGACCUGUGGAUUUUCUCGUUUUUUUCUGUGUGGAUACAGACUAAAGCCAGUUGGCGCAACAGGAAAAAAAAAUCACGAUAUGGAUAGUUAAACGUUUCCUGCUUAAAACGAGUCGGCUCUCCGUUUAAUGUCGCAUCUGUAUAAAGGACACACAUCCACCUGUGGCUUCCCCUCUGUGUCAGGUAGCAAAUCAAACACCCCUCGAACCCCCUUCCAAGGCCUCUGUCGUUGCAAUAAGUGUAUUAAGAUGUGUAGAGGCACAAGUGUUUAAAAAUGAAGUAUUAGUGUAUUGACUAUACUAAACUACAGAGUAGAGAGAGAGUAAACAUGAUAAGUUUAAUAAAUGUGACCUUCAGUCAUUUAUGCUUUUUAUUUGCUCUAGUAUCUCUGGUGGAUUCAUUGUUGUCUCUGUGUGUGUGUGUGUGUGUGUGUGUGUGUGUUUGUAUGUGGGAUGUUGAUCUCAAAUGGCACACUUAAAGGAAUAGUUCAGCCAAAAAUGAACAUUUACU